rnacentral:rRNA from 1 species
UGGCGGACGGGUGAGUAAUGCAUGAGCAACCUGCCCUGCAGUGGGGGACAACAGUUGGAAACGACUGCUAAUACCGCAUGAUGUAUCUGGAAGGCAUCUUCCGGAUACCAAAGAUUUAUCGCUGUGGGAUGGGCUCAUGUCUGAUUAGUUAGUUGGUGGGGUAACGGCCUACCAAGACUGCGAUCAGUAGCCGGACUGAGAGGUUGAACGGCCACAUUGGGACUGAGAUACGGCCCAGACUCCUACGGGAGGCAGCAGUGGGGAAUAUUGGGCAAUGGGCGAAAGCCUGACCCAGCAACGCCGCGUGAAGGAAGAAGGUCUUCGGAUUGUAAACUUCUUUUAUGAGGGACGAAGGAAGUGACGGUACCUCAUGAAUAAGCCACGGCUAACUACGUGCCAGCAGCC